rnacentral:rRNA from 1 species
AUUGAACGCUGGCGGCAGGCCUAACACAUGCAAGUCGAGCGGAGCGGCGGACGGGUAAGUAAUGCCUAGGAAUCUGCCUGUUAGUGGUGGAUCACGUCCGGAAACGGGCGCUAAUACCGCAUACUUUCAGAUGAGCCUAGGUCGGAUUAGCUAGUUGGUGGGGUAAAGGCCUACCAAGGCGACGAUCCGUAACUGUGCUGAGAGGAUGAUCAGUCAAACUGGAACUGAGAAACGGCCCAGACUCCGACGGGAGGAAGCAGUGGGGAAUAUUGGACAAUGGGCGAAAGCCUGAUACAGCCAUGCCGCGUGUAUGAAGAAGGCCUUCGGGUUGUAAAGUACUUUCAGCGGGGAGGCGUUACCCGCAGAAGAAGCACCGGCUAACUCCGUGCCAGCAGCCGCGGUAAUUC